rnacentral:tRNA from 1 species
AAUUAUAUAGUCUAAGUAGGAUAUUAAAUUGCAAAUUUAAUGGUAAAUUUUUAUUUUAUAAUUU